CCUACGGGUGGCAGCAGUGAGGAAUAUUGGUCAAUGGGCGGGAGCCUGAACCAGCCAAGUCGCGUGAGGGAAGAAGGUACUGAGUAUUGUAAACCUCUUUUGCCAGGGGACAAAGGCGGCCACGGGUGGCCGUAAGAGGGUACCUGGAGAAAAAGCAUCGGCUAACUCCGUGCCAGCAGCCGCGGUAAUACGGAGGAUGCGAGCGUUAUCCGGAUUUAUUGGGUUUAAAGGGUGCGCAGGCGGAGGUGCAAGUCAGCGGUCAAAUUGCGGGGCUCAACCCCGUACUGCCGUUGAAACUGCAUCCCUUGAGUGCGCGAGAAGUAUGCGGAAUGCGUGGUGUAGCGGUGAAAUGCAUAGAUAUCACGCAGAACUCCGAUUGCGAAGGCAGCAUACCGGCGCUCAACUGACGCUCAUGCACGAAAGUGUGGGUAUCGAACAGGAUUAGAUACCCGGGUAGUC
rnacentral:rRNA from 1 species